rnacentral:rRNA from 1 species
ACGUAGGGUGCGAGCGUUAAUCGGAAUUACUGGGCGUAAAGCGUGCGCAGGCGGUUUUGUGAGCCAGAUGUGAAAUCCCCGGGCUUAACCUGGGAAUGGCCAUGGAAACUGGCGAACUGGAGUGUGGCAGAGGGGGGUGGAAUUCCGCGUGUAGCAGUGAAAUGCGUAGAGAUGCGGAGGAACACCGAUGGCGAAGGCAGCCCCCUGGGCUAACACUGACGCUCAGGCACGAAAGCGUGGGGAGCAAACAGGA